ACUGCAUGAUACUCUUGGAAUUUCAUUGGAUGAUCAAAGGCUGAUGUGGAUGGAAAUGGAACAAUCGAUUAUAUUGAAUUUAUUACUGCAACCAUGCAUAGGCACAAGCUGAUACAUUUGUGACAGGAUGCCCGGGCUGCUAACUCUAUGUUGUUUGGAAGCUCCAUAGUUCCUAUUCAAAAAGAAUAGUCGUCGUUGGCAUGAAGAGGAGAGAGAAACUGGCUUACUUGGUAGAAGAGACCAUUGUAUUUGCAUUGAUGGUGGGAGUAGCUGGUUGUUUUUAUGUUAUUAUUUUUUACCAAGAUGCCCGUUGUAUGCCCAAGCAGCUUGUUAUUUUUUAUAUUUGUUUAAUGGUGGGAGUAGCUGGAACACCAUUUGGUAGCAAGAAACAGUUCUAUUUGCAUCGUGGAAAUGCCAAACAUCCACAAAAAUUGUAUUCUUAUUUACGUCUUUCAAAACAAAUGAGCUGAGUGCAAAGUGGGUGUGUAAAUCUUGAACCACUUUGCACUCACAUGAACCAAACAUUUUCGUUUUGCACUCUACAAACUUGCAUUCGUACUCCAACCAAAUGGAACCUUAUGUGAUGGCAUGAUCAUCAUAUUUUC